CAUUGCUUUAGAGAUUCAAAAUCAUCGUAGGCCGGCUUCAAAUCCAGAUAGUUUAGCUAGUUAGCCGUCCACUGAUGUACACGCCGACGCCCCGCUGGAUGAAUCCCUUGGAGGCCCAUCCACCGUCACCGGGGAUCGAGGUACAUCAGAUUGGGCAUCUGGUUCGUCGGAUGGGCUCUUUUAAUAGAGAUAGCAGUUCCUGGGGAUGGCGGAGGAGCAAAGCGAGUCGUCGGAUGGGCUCUCGCCGGCGGCCGGCGGAAUGGUAGAGCGAGCCGGAGGUGGGCGGCCGUCAGCACCGGAUGGGGCGGAGGGCCAGCUGAGGCGGAGCGAGCUGAGGGAGGUGAGGGCGAAGGCGGAGGCGAAGGCGGGCGGCUCGUCUCCCACAGCGGCGGCGGCGGUGCUCUGCCCGGGAUGAGCCGCCCGUGCUUGUUCUUUUUCCCGCGGUGCUGCUUUGCCUUGCGUGCGCGUGAGGAUGAAGGGAGGUAGGCAUUGACUGUUUUCUGACCCAACCUUUUCGCUGCUGUCCGUUGGAUGGCGAUUGAACGACAGAUAGGCUGCCUCAAGGCGCUCCGUGCCUUGGUUUUAGCGAGGCACCGGAUCUCUCUGGAAUUCCUGGUCCGGUGUGUGGUUGGGGACGAAGAAGUACUUGCUUGUGGACACGGGAACGGCGCAGGCUGGAUUUAAUAGUUAGCGGGCCAGGCCAAAAUGUGAAACACCAAAUUUUUACCAGCCGACAGGUGCAGGUGGUACGGUCCGAUCCAGUACCAGCAACCAGACAUUUCGUCAUCAAUCCUCGUACAGGCCCACAUGCACUAGGCGUAGACAGUGUGUAUUCACUGAAGAUUUAAGGCAGAAAAGCGCUAUCAGCUACAUUCCGUCUCCAAGUCACGAUGCCCCAUGUGUGCUGUGGAGUAUCAAGUUCAAGACUAGGAACCAUGAAGGCUUGUGUUGGAUGAUGAACGAGCUCAGGGAACUAUCUGCAGACAAGAUCUUGAGGACUCCGGACUCUCAAUUUGCUUCGUGUGUUCUGCUUCGCACCUUCUACCCCCGGCGGCUUGUUGGGUUGAGCCGUAUUACGUUUUUUUAGUAACUUGUGGUGUUAGUUUCUAAGUACUUGAUGUAAAUCUGUAACUCGUUGGCUAAACUGUAUGCCGCAGCAGUUGGCUAAACUGUAUACCGCAGCAGUUUAUACAGUUACAGUUUAUACUGUUAUGUGAACUUCACAA